rnacentral:rRNA from 1 species
ACCGUAAACAAUUGACUUACACCCACAAACGCCAGGGAAUUACGAGCAAUGCUUAAAACCCAAAGGAUUUGACGGUGUCCCACCCAACUAGAGGAGCCUGUUCUAUAAUCGAUGAUCCCCGCUACACCCGACCACUCCUUGCUCAUCAGUCUGUAUACCUCCGUCGAAAGCUUACCAUGUGAACGUCUGAAGUAAGCUCAAUGACUCAUACGUCAACACGUCAGGUCAAGGUGCAGCUUAAGGACUGGGAAGUAAUGGGCUACAAUUUCUAGUUUAGAACAAACGGAAGACUAUGUGAAAUCUUAGUCAUGAAGGUGGAUUUAGUAGUAAAAAGAAAAUAGAGUGUUCUUUUUAACUCGGCUCUGGGAUGCGUACACACCGCCCGUCACCCUCUUCAAUAGUAUAUUACUAGUUCUUAACCCACUAUCACGUCUUAGAAGAGGCAAGUCGUACAUGGUAAGUGUACUGGAAAGUGCACUUGGUAAACA